CUAAAUGACAAGGAUUCCCUUUGGUUUAUCAUCAACCGUUGAUAGAGUCAAUCCAAUGGACAUAAUCCUCUAAUUAUUUUCCUUUCUUUUUUCCUCCUCUCCUCAUCUUGUCUUUCCUUUCCACGCAAAUCACUUCUUUUUUCUUUUCUGUUUUUCUUCUCUUCUCUCGUUGUCUCCUUCUUCUUUUCGUCAAGUUGAAGAAAAAUUGCAAAGCCCAGAAGAUUAAUCGAUGAGUUCUAGAAGAUCUGUGUCAAUGACGAGGCCGAACAUCGACGGACGCACAUGACUGCCACGGCGACACCACUACUUAGCCGAGAGACGCCGUUAAAGUACUAAGGAGACAGAAAAAUAAAUCCGGCGACGGAAGAGUUCUAAGGAGACGGUGGCGGAGCAAAAGGCUUGUACCGCGGGUGGAGUGCCGGUUCUAACCCUCCACCGGUUAGGUUGCAGCCGGCAACUGGACUCGUCGGCAAACGAAAUCCGGCUGAAGACACGGGCGGCGGCUGAAGACUGAAGCGGCGGCUAAAGACUGUUAUGUGUGAUUAGGGUUUUUUUUUGUGUUUUUAGCAUCCGGUUCAACCGGGGUUUUGUAAUUGAUUCAAUUUGGUAACUCUUAACCAUUCCCGGUUUGGGUUCUUUAUUAAUACAAAUAUAUUUAUUAAUUAAAAAAAAA